UACGUAGGGGGCGAGCGUUAUCCGGAUUUAUUGGGCGUAAAGCGUGUGUAGGCGGUUUGUUAAGUUUAAGAUUAAAGCCCGAGGCUUAACCUCGGUUCGUCUUAAAAACUGGCAGACUUGAGUGCAGUAGAGGCAAGUGGAAUUUCUAGUGUAGCGGUUAAAUGCGUAGAUAUUAGAAGGAACACCAGUGGCGAAGGCGGCCUGCUGGGCUGUUACUGACGCUGAGACACGAAAGCGUGGGGAGCAAAUAGG
rnacentral:rRNA from 1 species